GUUCUAAAUAUGCUAGUGGUGCUUAUGUUCACCAUAUUUUUGAAUGUAUGGCAUAUUCUUCUAUUGAAUGCCAUUAUCCAUUUUUAGUCAUGGCAUGUGGGCAUUUGUAAAAUUUUACAGAAUGAAAGAUACCAUUGGCCUCCCUUUUCAUAUGGCUGCACAUAUUUACAUAUAUACAUAGGAACUAAAGCCGAUAAAAGCUGGCCUUUUGAUAAACUACACUACAGAGAACUUAUAUCUAAUGUAGUCAGUGGCAAACAAAUUAAUACGAAUUUAACCCGAUUUAAGAACAAUAAAAUUGUUUCUAUUGUCAUAAAUAUUCGGGCGAAAACGGCGUAACCUUAUAUAUGAACUAUUGUGAAAAUUCCACUGAUUUAAAAAAAUGCACUCAGAUAAUUAAUGCACGUAAAAAUAAAAAAAAUGGUGUGUGGAGGAUAAAGAUCUUUCAUAUUAAUUCAGUAUUUGAUAAACGUUAAAGUGUUAACACAUAUGUAUUUAGCCAGUUGCUAAUAUGCGAAUGGGAAUUAGUCCUUGAUGCUGUAUAUGUAGAAUACAUUGAACCCACAAAGCAAAAAGCAAAAUUUUCGUUUGGGAUAUGUGCCUGUAUAG